rnacentral:rRNA from 1 species
UACGGAGGGUGCAAGCGUUAUCCGGAUUCACUGGGUUUAAAGGGUGUGUAGGCGGAUUAUUAAGUCAGUGGUGAAAUCUCCGGGCUCAACCCGGAAACUGCCAUUGAUACUAUUAGUCUUGAAUUCUGUUGAGGUGGGCGGAAUAUGCCAUGUAGCGGUGAAAUGCUUAGAUAUGACAUAGAACACCGAUUGCGAAGGCAGCUCACUAAGCAGAUAUUGACGCUGAGGCACGAAAGCGUGGGGAUCAAACAGG